AUGUGUGAUUUCUGGAUCAAAGCAUGAAAAAGUCAGUGGGUGACCUUCAGCUUACUCUUUCCCUUCGUGACCUCAGGCUGUUAUGGAGGAGCCACGAGAUCAAAGCAGCCUGGAUUGCUGAGUUUCAUUCUCCUACAAGACUUACCCUGGAGAGGUGUCUGGAUGGGCCGUGGAUUUCGUAGAGGUUGGCCGGAGGGUCCACGCCAUAAGGCUACUCUACGCCAGUCAAGAAGAGGAGGGAGUGGGUCUUGAGGCCGAAGGAACAGCAAGGCCAGAGGCCCAAAGGCAAGAGACGGUAGGAAGAGUGCAUGAAGGAAAAGUGGGAAGCACAGAGUGGCAAGGAACGAAGAGUGAAUCUGCUUAUAGAUUUCCCCUCCGCAGCUUGCCUUGGUGUCUGCCUCGGAUUCUGGGACUUGGAGGACAAGGCCCAAGCAAGAUAAAUUCCAUGCCAAUACAGGAAGGAUACCCAGAUGAGCUUUGGGGAUGGAAUCAAAAUACACAACUGCAGCUCUGCUACAGAUUGCCCCUGGGAUCUUUGGCACCACCCUGGCUUCUCCGAACUCCAGUUUCUGCCUUUACGAGCAAAGGUGAAGAAAAUGGGACGAGUGCAUUUGUUUUGACAAUUCAAGGAAAUGGGAUUACCAGGAUGCAAAAGGGCAUAGUGGGCAUUCAAUAAAUGCAUUCAACACAUGUUUCUCAAACGAAAA